rnacentral:lncRNA from 1 species
UCAUUGCAACCUCCACCUCCUGGGCUCAUGUGAUUCUCAUGCCUCAGCCACUCUAGUAGCUGGGACUACAGACACAUGCCACCAUGCCCAGCUAAUUUUUGUAUUUUUAGUAGAGACAGGAUUUCCCCACAUUGGCCGGGCUGGUCUCGAACUCCUGGCCUUAAGUGAUCCACUCGCCUCAGCCUCCCAAAGUGUUGGGAUUACAGGUACAAAAAAAGAAAAGAAAGAGAGAGAGAAAAAAAGAAAGAAAUGAACCUGGAACUGAUUACAUCUCAGAGAUGUUCACUCUUAGAAAACAGCCACCACCAUGCUGCAAAGAAGCUCAAAUUAGCCUAUCUGGGUAGGUAGGUGUUCUGAGGGACAAUCAACAUCAAUCACCAGCCAUGUGAGUGAAGAAGCCUCCAGGUUCUAAGUACCAGCCAUAAAGUCACCACCAGCUUUUGAAUCUUCCCAGCUAAGGCUUAAGCAAGCCAUCUGUGCAGAAACUGUCCUGUCUGAAUUCCAACAGAUCCAUAGCACAAUAAAAUGGUUGUUUUACACCAUUAUGUUUUGGAAUGGCUUGCUACAAACACAACAAAAGGUAACCAGAAAAAAAGUGCCCUUUCCCAGUUUGGUAGCUUUACAUUACACACAUACACACCACCCCUAAAAUCAAGUUUUUCUCAACUUUAAGGAAGGUCCAAUCCAAUGUGCAAUUUGGCAGACCUGUUUAAAUAAGACAGUUUCUACUUAGGAGGCUUAACAAUUCAUCUCAUAUAUACCCUGAAUACCUAUGAUAUGUAAGAUACUUUCCUAGAUUCCUAAGACACAAAGAUGAAUAACAUAUAGUCUGUAGUUAAAAGUUUACAAUCUAGGAAGAGAAUAAAAUGGGUACACACUAGUUUAUGAAAGUACCUAAGUGCCAAAAUAGGAUUAUAAAGUUAACUCUGCCACAAAUAGUUACAGCAUCAUUUUGGACUUAUAAACAGCUUUUGGGUCCUUCAGGAAAGUAGAUGGGCUUUAGUAAAUGCCUAGAAAAAGAAGACUGGGAAAAAAAAAACAUGAAAAAUGUGGGCCUCAUUAUGUUAUGUUUAGAUUGUGAGAUUAUGAGUGUUUUCUGUUCUCCUUUUAAAUUUCCUGUAUUUGCCAUGUUUUCUAUAGUAAGUUAUAUAUUAGAUUUUUUGAGGAAAAAAU